rnacentral:rRNA from 1 species
AACGAACGCUGGCGGCAUGCCUAACACAUGCAAGUCGAACGAGACCUUCGGGGCUAGUGGCGCAGGGGUGCGUAACGCGGGGGAACCUGCCCUUAGGUUCGGAAUAACUCACCGAAAGGGGUGCUAAUACCGGAUAAUGUCUUAGGACAAAAGAUUUAUUGCCUUUGGAUGGGCCCGCGUUGGAUUAGCUAGUUGGUAGGGUAAAAGCCUACCAAGGCGACGAUCCAUAGCUGGUCUGAGAGGAUGAUCAGCCACACUGGGACUGAGACACGGCCCAGACUCCUACGGGAGGCAGCAGUGGGGAAUAUUGGACAAUGGGCGAAAGCCUGAUCCAGCCAUGCCGCGUGAGUGAUGAAGGCCUUAGGGUUGUAAAGCUCUUUUACCCGGGAUGAUAAUGACAGUACCGGGAGAAUAAGCGCCGGCUAACUCCGUG